AUUGAACGCUGGCGGCAUGCCUUACACAUGCAAGUCGAACGGCAGCACGGGAGCAAUCCUGGUGGCGAGUGGCGAACGGGUGAGUAAAGUAUCGGAACGUGCCCAGUCGUGGGGGAUAACGUAGCGAAAGUUACGCUAAUACCGCCUACGAUCUAUGGAUGAAAGCGGGGGAUCGCAAGACAUCGCGCGAUUGGAGCGGCCGAUAUCAGAUUAGGUAGUUGGUGGGGUAAAGGCCCACCAAGCCGACGAUCGGUAGCGGGUCUGAGAGGACGACCAGCCACACUGGGACUGAGACACGGCCCAGACUCCUACGGGAGGCAGCAGUGGGGAAUUUUGGACAAUGGGCGAAAGCCUGAUCCAGCCAUGCCGCGUGCAGGAUGAAGGCCUUCGGGUUGUAAACUGCUUUUGUACGGAACGAAAAGGACUGCCCUAAUACGGUGGUCCCAUGACGGUACCGUAAGAAUAAGCACCGGCUAACUACGUGCCAGCAGCCGCCGUAA
rnacentral:rRNA from 1 species